rnacentral:lncRNA from 1 species
AUGACCGCCCUGCCUCAGGUGCGCUUUGCAGCUGGCCCCUCGCAGCCUGUGCUGCCUUCUCACCUCUCGACAGCGUCUCAGCGAGAAGGCUUCAGUUCUGAGGACUCCAGCCUGUCUCUGUCGCUUCCACAGAUGGUCCUAUCGCGACUGCAUCUGAGAAGCCGACCCCUGGGUUGCCCGCCUCUUCUCCCCUCUGACCACAGCCUGGGGCCCAGAGCGAAAAGACUCUUUGUUGAGAACACCUCUGCUUUUAAGAAGACUUCUGUGGUCCUUGUUUAUUAUGUAGGAGGCUCGCCCGUUCCCAGGCCUCAAAGGACAGUCUGUAAGUUCUGGAAGCUUCUGGCGGCGUUGGGUUGUGGUGCCUGCGCGCUCGCUGUCCGCCCCCCUGCUGCCGUCUGCCCUUUGGGCCAUCGGAUGGUCAGGCCGGGGCAGCCUCGGGAGCGCUCCAGCAGGAGGCUAACAGCAAUCCAUUGUGGUCGACACGACCGUGCGGACGCCGUGCUACAAGCCGAGGACAGAAUUAGGGGCAGGCCCUUGCCAGGUGCUCAGCGUGCGCAGCAGGACGGGCUCCACAGGCACACCAACGAUUCCGCGAUGUGUUCAGCGUCCACCCGCCCCCUCGUGCCAACGCAGGCCCCUGCGUGAGCCCCGUCGUGUCUCCUGAGGCCCGGUCUGCACGGACAGUCCGCGCAGAUCCUGGGUGAGGACUCCACGCAGAAAUCCGCCCGCAGCCGACUAUCACCCCAUGGGUCUACCCCCUCUCCAGCAUGCCAAGAACACUCGACGAUCUAGGGAAAAUACCACAGAACAGUGUUCUGAUCUCGGUGGAGAAAGAAACUUUAUCCUUAGACAAGAUUCUUAAAAAAUCUAUUUUUUUCCUUAAAAAACCUAUUAACAGCGAAGGGAAAAUGUAAAACAGUGACUACGUUCAUGUUAUGAAUUUUUCUUUCUCAAAGAUGCCUCGAAGACCGUGAAUGGGCAGCGUUGGGAGAAGCGGGCUAUGCACGAGGAGCAUGGGGAGCGCGGGGAGCACGCGGUCCCGGUGGGAGCACACGCAGGGCUCGCACAUCCACCGGUACAGAAUCAGGCCAAGCGUGGACAGGUGCUUCCUGGGGUGGCUCGCUGGGGACGACGGCACACGAUGUCCACGGCCAAUUAGGCUGUGAAAUCAGAGAGACCCAGAGGAGCACCGUCAGCCCGUCCUGCCCACUACGCCUGAGUCCCCCAGUGAGACACGGGGACGCUCCUUCGCCCAGGACACCACCACUCGCUCUGAGCCUGAACAUCCUUAACGUCUCAGAACCAAAGUGUGAGCGAAGAAAAGUCACAGAGAAACUUGAUGCACGUGUGUUGAUUCACAGAAAGUUGAACUCACGUGAGCUGGGGCAGUACGUGACAUGGUGCACGCACGCCUGUACAAUUACGGAAACCAAGGACACGGGAAGGGCAGGUUGAGGAUGUCACUCGUUUCUGGAUGCAGGCAGGGCUGGAGGCCACGGGUCCAGGGCGUGCAGGGAAGGGGUGAAGCCAGGGGGUCGGGGGGUGCAGGCAGGGAUGAGGCCAGGGGCUGGGGGGUGCAGGGAAGGGGUAAAGCCAGGUAGCCGAGGGGUGCAGGGAAGGGGUGAGGCCAGGGGCUGGGGUGCAGGCAUCUUGACGGCGUCCUCUGUCCUCGGGGCACAAGCUACAAGGGUCCCGGUUUAUCACCACAGCUCCAAGUGUGCUCUGCUUUUUAUUCAUUAAUAAGAUGUAUUCUAACCGGAAGUAAAAUAGUCGUAAAAUAAUAAUAAUUUUAUUAAUAUAUAAUAAUAAUUUUAGAAAUUACAAAGUUUAAAUGCA